rnacentral:rRNA from 1 species
AGUUCUUUACUUAGUGACGAAUAACGGCAGGAGGGAAUGCCUGUCAGAUGACGUUCGCUAAGGCAUAAGCCCCGGCUAAUUACGUGCCAGCAGUCGCGGUCACCCCGUAAGUGGGCGAGCGUAGUCCGGAAUUAUUGGGCGUAAAGGGCGCGUCGGCGGCUUUGCAAGCCUGGUGUGAAAGGUCACAGCUUAACUGUGGGACUGCGCUGGGAACUGCAUGGCUCGAGUUCACGAGGGGACCCUGGAAUUCCUGGUGUCGGGGUGAAAUCUGUAGAUCUCAGGAAGAACACCUGUGGCGAAGGCGAGCUUCUGGCUAUGAACUGACGCUGAGGCGCGAAAGCGUGGGGAGCGAACAGGAUUAGAUACCCUGGUAGUCCACGCUGUAGACGAUGUGCACUAGGUGUCUGAGGUUAUGAUCUUGGGUGCCGUAGCAAACGCGUUAAGUGCACCGCCUGGGGAGUAUGCUCGCAAGGGUGAAACUCAAAGGAAUUGACGGGGGCCCGCACAAGCGGUGGAGCAUGUGGUUUAAUUCGAUGAUACGCGAGGAACAUUACCAGGGCUUGACAUAUAGUGGACGGCGGCAGAGAUGUCGAUUCCAUUCGGGGCUGCUAUACAGGUGCUGCAUGGCAGUCGUCAGAUCGUGCUGUGAGGUGUUGGGUUAAGUCCCGCAACGAGAGCAACCCCUGCUGUCUGUUACCAACACGUAAAGGUGGGGACUCAGGCGGUACUGCCGGUGACAAACCGGAGCCAGGUGGGGACGACGUCAAGUCAUCAUGGCCCUUAUGUCCUGGACUACACACGUGCUACAAUGGCCGGUACAGAGCGCAGCGAAACCGCGAGCUGGAGCAAAUC